rnacentral:rRNA from 1 species
AUGAAGCCAUUUACCCUAGAAAAAACCGAGAUAAGACUUUCGGGACGAAGCGCCGCCGUCUCGAGGCGGGACCUGGGGAGGAGCACUUUUGCUCUCUGGUGGAGCGACUCCGCCGGGGAUACUUCCCUCUGGGAGGGGGAAAUCCAAGCCAUCGCCAUCACCAACAAUCUUCUCAUCAUGGGAGGACUCAUCUCCAUCAAUAUCUUCACUGGCACCAUCUCAUCUCAAACCCUACUUCAUCUCUUGUAUUCAAUCUUUAUCUCAAAACCUCAUAUUGGUACUUGUGGGUUGCUAAUAGUGUUGAUUACAUCUUGUAGUCGAUGCUAG